GUGGAGAUCCUCCCUAAGCUGCAGUUGGAGUGCCCAAAUGAAAAACAAUGAAUCCAAGCAGAAAACAGCUGAGAAAGAGCUCCAGUAUAACACCUAACAGGAGAAGAGAAGAACAAAGAGGAUGGUAGAAUCUUCUGAUACUGAAGAAUUUAGUGAGUGCCAAUCUGAAUGGGAAGAAUAAAACAUGAGAAAACCAUGACAGUUCUUAUACAUUUUAAAAUAAAUCUGUUAUGAAAUCAACAAUCUUGAAAGACGACAGGACCUGCUAUAUAUGAGUCCCUGAGGCAAAAUAAUCUUUAUUCAGGGUUAAGGCCCCUAAUGAGCUCCCUGGACAUUAUUUAAUGAGAUGUGUUGCUGACUAACCUGCCACUCAUCCUAAUAAAUAUAUACAACAAAGGCAGAC